GAUGAACGCUAGCGGCAGGCCUAAUACAUGCAAGCCGAACGGCAAGCUUUGUAGCAAUACAGAGCCUAGAGUGGCGUAAGGGUGCGUAACACGUAUGGAAUCUGCCCUCAACAGGAGGAUAGCUCCCCGAAAGGGGAAUUAACACUCCAUAGGAUAUAGGUGUGGCAUCACAUUUAUAUUAAACCGCAAGGGGUUGAGGAUGAGCAUGCGCAUGAUUAGUUAGUUGGCGGGGUAACGGCCCACCAAGACGAUGAUCAUUAGGGGAACUGAGAGGUUGAU
rnacentral:rRNA from 1 species